rnacentral:rRNA from 1 species
CUGGCGGCGUGCCUAAUACAUGCAAGUCGAGCGGACCGACGGGAGCUUGCUCCCUUAGGUCAGCGGCGGACGGGUGAGUAACACGUGGGUAACCUGCCUGUAAGACUGGGAUAACUCCGGGAAACCGGGGCUAAUACCGGAUGCUUGAUUGAACCGCAUGGUUCAAUCAUAAAAGGUGGCUUUUAGCUACCACUUGCAGAUGGACCCGCGGCGCAUUAGCUAGUUGGUGAGGUAACGGCUCACCAAGGCGACGAUGCGUAGCCGACCUGAGAGGGUGAUCGGCCACACUGGGACUGAGACACGGCCCAGACUCCUACGGGAGGCAGCAGUAGGGAAUCUUCCGCAAUGGACGAAAGUCUGACGGAGCAACGCCGCGUGAGUGAUGAAGGUUUUCGGAUCGUAAAACUCUGUUGUUAGGGAAGAACAAGUACCGUUCGAAUAGGGCGGUACCUUGACGGUACCUAACCAGAAAGCCACGGCUAACUACGUGCCAGCAGCCGCGGUAAUACGUAGGUGGCAAGCGUUGUCCGGAAUUAUUGGGCGUAAAGCGCGCGCAGGCGGUUUCUUAAGUCUGAUGUGAAAGCCCCCGGCUCAACCGGGGAGGGUCAUUGGAAACUGGGGAACUUGAGUGCAGAAGAGGAGAGUGGAAUUCCACGUGUAGCGGUGAAAUGCGUAGAGAUGUGGAGGAACACCAGUGGCGAAGGCGACUCUCUGGUCUGUAACUGACGCUGAGGCGCGAAAGCGUGGGGAGCGAACAGGAUUA